rnacentral:rRNA from 1 species
UGAGUAAUGUAUCGGAACGUGCCCAGUAGCGGGGGAUAACUACGCGAAAGCGUAGCUAAUACCGCAUACGCCCUACGGGGGAAAGGGGGGGAUCGCAAGACCUCUCACUAUUGGAGCGGCCGAUAUCGGAUUAGCUAGUUGGUGAGGUAAAGGCUCACCAAGGCUUCGAUCCGUAGCUGGUUUGAGAGGACGACCAGCCACACUGGGACUGAGACACGGCCCAGACUCCUACGGGAGGCAGCAGUGGGGAAUUUUGGACAAUGGGGGCAACCCUGAUCCAGCAAUGCCGCGUGUGCGAAGAAGGCCUUCGGGUUGUAAAGCACUUUUGGCGGGAACGAAACGGUGCCGGAUAAUACCUGGCGCCACUGACGGUACCCGCAGAAUAAGCACCGGCUAACUACGUGCCAGCAG